rnacentral:rRNA from 1 species
UACGUAGGGGGCGAGCGUUGUCCGAAGUUACUGGGCGUAAAGAGCUCGUAGGUGGUUUGUCGCGUUGUUCGUGAAAUCUCACGGCUUAACUGUGAGCGUGCGGGCGAUACGGGCAGACUGGAGUACUGCAGGGGAGACUGGAAUUCCUGGUGUAGCGGUGGAAUGCGCAGAUAUCAGGAGGAACACCGGUGGAGAAGGCGGGUCUCUGGGCAGUAACUGACGCUGAGGAGCGAAAGCGUGGGGAGCGAACAGG